UCCUAUAUAUAAUGGCAGUAUCGUAGCCAAUGAGGUUUAUCCGAGGCGUGAUUAUUGCUAAUUGAAAACUUUUCCCAAUGCCAAGACACUUCCAAUUUGACGCAGGAGAAAACCU